rnacentral:rRNA from 1 species
UGGAUACCUUGGCUUCUAUACCGAAGAAGGGCGUGGCAAGCUGCGAUAAUCUAUGGGUAGCCGCACGCAGGCUAUGAUCCAUAGGUACCCGAAUUGGAAUCCAUUCAUUGUCCAAAAAGCAAUGAAAGGCCCCUUAGGGCCGGGGAACCCUCCGAACGAAAGCAUUCAAGUAGGAGGUGGAAAAGAAAUCAAUUUCGAGAUUUCCUUAGUAACGGCGAGUAAAAAGGAAACAGGUCAAACCGAAUGAGUAUAAGAAAUUAUAUUCGGAUGUGGUGUUGAGGACUAGUGUCAACGCGUAAGUUUUAGAAACUGAAUUUUGUUUGGAACACAAAACCAUAGAGGGUGACAGUCCCGUAAGUGUAUAAAACAUGCUAUGAGCAUUAGUAUCCAGACUAGGGCGGAUUGGUAAUUCCGUCCAAACCUCCAGAACCAACUGGAAAGCCUAAAUAUUAAUAGAAGACCGAUAGCGAACUAGUAACGUGAGUGAAAGGUGAAAAGUAGUGGUAAAACACAGUGAAAAGAGCUUGAAAUAAUUUACUUAAAGAGUGUAAUGGCGUCGAAGGAAAGAGACUCAUCGAAUCUAACGGUUGCGAAACCUUCUUGAGAGAUGAGUUUACCAGCGUCAUUGCGUCAGUCUUGAAACACUGGCCAGGGAGUUUAUUUAUGUGGUGAGGCUAAGAUCAUAUCUGUGCCGUAGGGAAACCAACCAGCCCGCAAUAUUAUGAGGGGCGACGUCUGAAAGGGCGUGAAAUCACAUGAAUAAGAUGCGAAACGAGUUGAUCUAUGCGUGGGCAGGUUGAAGCCUUGGGAAACUAAGGUGGAGGACCGAACGGUUGCUGAUAUACAACUCGCUCCGCUGACCUACGUAUAGUAGUCAAAGGCUAAUCUAAACUCGUGAUAGCACAUUAAAACCGAAGUGGUGCCGCAGACCAGCGUUGGACGAAAGAAAUUUGAAGGUAGAGUACAGACAGAGUCGGAAAGGGCCUUCACGGGCUCGCCACUCCAUCUAACUCCGAAUGUCAAAUUCUUGUAGACUCCAGCAGUCGGGUGGGUCGCCGUAAGGGUGAUCACCGAGAAGCGAAUAAGCUUGAUCUGGGUUAAGGGCCCCAAAUGUCAGUUAAGUGUUAAGCUGAAGGGCGUCGUAUCGCGAAGACAAUGAGGUGGUAAGCUUAGAAGCAGCUACCCAUUAAAAAGUUCGUACUAGAUUACUCAUCGAGCGGUACGGCCCUGAAAAUGGACGGGGCUCAAACUGACUCCCGAUACCCAGAGGCGUAUAUUAAUACGAUCCGGUAGGUUUUCGAUGGCAUAGGGUAGAAGCAGGUUGGAGAUGACCUGUGGACCUUUGUCAUGUGCAGAUCCUGGUAGUAGUAGGCAGAAAACAUGGGUGAAAACCCCAUGGGUCAAAAAGGCAAGGGUUCCGAGGCAAUGUCAAUCAGCCUCGGGUAAGCCGGUCCUAAGCGUAACCUUAUUAUGGUCAUCGCAAAAGGGAAGCAGGUUAAUAUUCCUGCGCUGCGCCUGAACUCGGUAACGAUAGAAUAUGAUCGGACGCUUGUAGAUAGGUUCUUGUGGACCGUCGUCCAGACUAAGUGUAUAAGUCCUAGGAGUUGCGUUGAGCAGAGAAUUGGACAAAAUCACGAAUGGCCACCCAAUAGUGGGGGGUUGAAUUGAUUUCUAAAAGCCCAUGAAAACGAUCAUAUUUACUAAUGGCGCAUCCGUACCUAAACCGACACGGGUGUCCUUAGGCUUAGAAGGCUAAGACCUCUUGGAGUAAUGUAGUUAAGGGAAUUCGGCAAAUUAGGCGAGUAACUUCGGGAUAAUCGCUGCCUUUAGACGUUUUGCGUCCGAAGGUGUCACUAACAUAGGGAACCCAACUGUUUAACAAAAACAUAGCAAACUGCUACGCGGAAACGCUUUGUAUAGUUUGUGAAUCCUGCUCCGUGCUCGUAAGUUAAAGCCGGGUACAACCGGCCUAAGCUCGAGUUAACAGCGGGAGUAACCAUGACUCUCUUAAGGUAGGCAAAUGCCUUGUCGGAUAAUUACCGACGUCCAUGAAGGGAACAAUGAGGUUCCCCCUGUCCCUAACUAGAAUCCAGUGAACCUACAGUCCGGCGAACAGUCCGGAGAGACCUGACGGGAAGAGAAGACCCUGAGAGCUUUACUACAGCUUCCAGUUGUGUAUGCGGUUAUCAUACAGAGCGUAGUUAGGAGACUUUGAAGAUUUAUCCCCGGGUAAAUUGGAGUCAACAAUGGAACACUAACUAUGAUGACUGCGUAUGCUCACCUGAUGCGUCGGGGACACCUGGAGGUGGGUAGUUUGGCUGGGGCGGCACGCCUCCGAUAAGAAAACAGAGGCGCCCAAAGGUUGACUCAGAAGGGUCAGAAAUCCUUCGUAGAGUGCAAGGGCAUAAGUCAGCUUUACUGUGAGCACGAAAAUCCUGCUCGCUGUUACGAAAGUAGGGCCUAGCGAUCCAUCCUGAUCCUCCUUGGUGGGGGCGGGUGGUGACAGAAAAGUUACCUCAGGGGUAACAGAGUUGUCGCGGGCUAAAGUUCACACGUUGGUUUUAUAACCUCGGUGAUUUAGUUCAUACAAACCCUUUACUUUUCUGAAAAUAUCGCAAAAUAGUUGUAUUAAAUACAACCUGUUCUUUAUCGUGUUUCUCCUGUGGAGAACCCACCAUAAAUUAAAACUAAAGUAGUUACAAGCUCGUGCCAAGCCGAAAACGGCACAAUAAAAUGGUCUAAACUCUCUUCAAAAGUUAUAAGAAUAACAAGAAUACAAGUAGAGAAAAAACUAACUUACACACACCUAAUCAAACUGUAAAGUUGAUGAUGAUGGUGUUGUUGGUCUGUUUCCCAACCAAUUCCUAUACUUAUAACCUAUGAAGGAACGAGUUACGAUCAGAAAAAGCGCGAGUUAGAUAUGUUUCAGUCAUACUGCAAAUUAUCUUACAAAGGGUUUGAAUUAAUCAUUUAUCGAUCUGGAUGCGUCCAGAAACGGGAUAAAUUGACCCCGCGGCUUGCUUCCUCGAUGUCGGCUCUUCCUCGCUUGGUGAUGCACAAGUCACCUAGAGUAGGGUUGUUCGCCCAUUAAUAGGGAACGUGAGCUGGGUUCAGACCGUUGUGAGACAGGUUGGUUUCUAUCUUUCAGGUCUGUUGCGUAUUUGCAGGUAAAUUGCCACCAGUACGAGAGGAACGUGGGGAUGGGGCCUCUGGUCGAUCGGUUGUCUGACAAGGCACUGCCGAGUAGCUACGCCCUUCCAGAUAAGAGCUGAACGCAUCUAAGCUCGAAGCUGGUCCUAAAACGAAAUA